AGGCAUCACCAGGGAGAUGAUGAAGAAGGGCAGCCAACACACAAUGAAUGCUCCUAAAAUGAUCCCUAGGGUCUUGGUGGCUUUGCGCUCCCUAGCGGCCAUGAGUUUCUUCUUUUCCAGCAGGGCGUCUGAGACUCGCACUUUGACUUGGUUCACGUACACAGGAGACCCGGACUCACUGGGCACGUCCGGAGCCCGGGAGUUAAUGGAGGUGACCGAGGAUGUGGAUCCCGGGGAGUCUGUUAUCAACUGGGCUCGGGUCAAGCGCUUGCCGGUCUUGUUGGGUGUCUGUUUCAAAAUCCGAGAGCGGGCUUCCACAUAGAUGCGGCCAUAGAGGGCGAUGAGGAGCAGGGUGGGUAAAUAGAAAGCGCCCACCGUGGAGUAGACCGUGUAGAGGACGUGGUCGGUGUUCACAAAGCAGUCCAGCAUCUCCUCCUCCGCUUUGGCCUGACGCCAGAAGAAGGGUGGCAACGAAAUAGAGAUGGAGAAGACCCACACCAGCACGAUCAUGAUGGCCGCCCUUUUGGGAGUCCUUUUAGCAGAAUAUUCCACCGCAUCAGUGAUGGCCCAGUAGCGGUCCAGGGCGAUGACACAGAGAUGCAUGAUGGAAGCAGUGCAACAGGUGAUAUCCGACGACAGCCAGAAGUCGCAGACCACCUGGCCUAGUGUCCAGCGUCCAGUGACCGUGUACAUGGUGCUGAUGGGCAUCACCAGGAUGGACACGAGCAGAAUUUCAAAGCAAAACUCCUGCAAGUAUCAUUUACAAGAAGGAUCUAUGCAAGGUACAAAGCAAAUCUCAAGCAAACUGAAACUGACAGUUAAUCAAAAAAGAUGAUUAAGAAAAUAACUGUAAUCAAAGGAAAUAACUUCUCCAUCAACAAUCAGUGGCUUUCAUCAGAGUAUUAUGUCACAGCAACAGAAGAGAAACGAGGACAACAUCAAUAAAGUUGCAUUGCAUAAAUUUGCCAGCACCCAAAUCUAACUUGACCCUCCCAAGUAUACAGAGCCAUGUUCUAUCUUGUCCUUGUCAAAUACCCACAUCUUUCUCUCAGGUACUUCCAAAGGCUGAUGGCUGACACCUUGGCAACAAAAAUGUAUAAUUACAUUGUCUUGAUCCAUUCUUCACUCAGUAGAUUAUUGCUUUGGAUCCUAAGUGCCAAUAUUUUUUCUGUAUAUAUUAAAUGAAAAGGUCUAAGACAGUGGUGACUUCUCUUGUUAGAAAAGUUUACUUUUCUGACAAAUGUAUACUCUACUUUCAAUAUUAGAGUAUGCUUUUAUUAUGUCUAAUUUUUUCUCUACUACCGCUUGACUAUAACAGACUAGUUAUGAGAAUUUGUCCUAAGGUAGUAAAUUUUAAGGCU
rnacentral:lncRNA from 1 species